rnacentral:rRNA from 1 species
AACGGCUGGCGGCGUGCUUACACAUGCAAGUCGAACGAUGAAGCCAGCUUGCUGGUGGAUUAGUGGCGAACGGGUGAGUAACACGUGAGUAACCUGCCCUUGACUCUGGGAUAAGCCUGGGAAACUGGGUCUAAUACCGGAUAUGACCUUCCAUCGCAUGGUGGUUGGUGGAAAGCUUUUGUGGUUUUGGAUGGACUCGCGGCCUAUCAGCUUGUUGGUGAGGUAAUGGCUUACCAAGGCGACGACGGGUAGCCGGCCUGAGAGGGUGACCGGCCACACUGGGACUGAGACACGGCCCAGACUCCUACGGGAGGCAGCAGUGGGGAAUAUUGCACAAUGGGCGCAAGCCUGAUGCAGCGACGCCGCGUGAGGGAUGACGGCCUUCGGGUUGUAAACCUCUUUCAGUAGGGAAGAAGCGUAA